UACGUAGGGUGCAAGCGUUGUCCGGAAUUAUUGGGCGUAAAGAGCUCGUAGGCGGUCUGUCGCGUCUGCUGUGAAAACCUGGGGCUUAACCCCGGGCCUGCAGUGGGUACGGGCAGACUAGAGUGUGGUAGGGGAGACUGGAAUUCCUGGUGUAGCGGUGAAAUGCGCAGAUAUCAGGAGGAACACCGGUGGCGAAGGCGGGUCUCUGGGCCAUAACUGACGCUGAGGAGCGAAAGCGUGGGGAGCAAACAGG
rnacentral:rRNA from 1 species